CAGAAGGGGGAAAGAAAGGGUGAAACCCUACUUGUUCAAUCAAGGUCAAAAUUCAGCAAAUUAAUGGUGGCUCUUGACACAAAUCGAAUGCAUGUGCUUGAUUUCUCACUAAUCUAAGUAUUCUGAUCAUAAGUAUAGGAACCAUAUCAACAUGGACACAAGCAUGGAAGGACAAUGGGCCAAGGGCAAUUAUAGAAGCUAUGCACGAACUCGGACGCACGAGGUUGUACGAAUCACGGGCGGUUAUCACGAGGAGUAGAGAUCGAAGACCGAGUCACAAGAUAGAUUGUACCGAAAUAGUUGAGUACGUAUUUUAGUAAGCAGGAUUUAUACUUUAUUUUUGUAAAAGAUACAUAUUAAAAUGAACUUUUAAGUAGGUCAAGAUGUUUGUAAUGAAAGAAAUUUUAUGGCACGA